CCCUUUGAGCAUCUCAAUAUUACAUUUAACGCACAGACUUAAUAACAUAUAUUUCUUUUCUUUUUAGGAAAAGAUGUAAUUAUGGUUAAUGCCAUAACUGGCAUUAUCAAAUGCCAAAAAAAAUCUUUAUUUUUUAUUAUCUUUGGUUACAAAUGCUGAUAUUGAUUUGAGGUUGAUUGACGCAUGUUCCACAUAUGUGAUGUUUUACUCUAUGGACAAAUGAUCAAAACGUGAAGUAAAAAAGUUUCAUGCCUGUAGCAGAAAUGCUAAGUCACGGCUUGAAGCAGUGAUUGAGCACCUGGUGGGAAGGCAGGGCCAACCCAAUGGAGCUCAGGUGCAUGCAAUGCACCUAAGUGACAGGUAGGGGUGGAGCCAGGAUCCACCCCUUCCCAGAGCACAAUGAAGUGUUGGCAGUGGAGGCAAAGGGAUAUUACUGGAGGUUCUUAUGUAUGUGAGGCUUUCCAAGGUUUGUUGAUGAAGGUGCCAACAGUCCUUGGAUUUCGUGGUCUGUUCUUUAUGCCAGCGCUCAUCCUGAGGCUCACAGAGGACUCUUGGCAGUUUCUGCUAUUUCAUCUCUAAGACCGGACAAUUGCCUGUUGUCUUCAUUAAUUCUGUUUGAAGUG